rnacentral:tRNA from 1 species
CACUUUUGUAGUUUAUUAAAAUAUCAUAUUUUCAGUGUGAAGAAAAUAAAAU